UGAGUAUUACAUCAGGUAUUGAAUGGUUUUUCAAUUUUCAGUAUCUAUGUAAAUACUCACU
rnacentral:pre_miRNA from 1 species